AUAGUAUUAUUAACAUAGUGCAUAAAAUCAGUUGGAGUAGCAGAAGCAAUGUAGAUAAAAAAUCUGCAGGAAUAACGUUUCAAAGCUUUCCAGAAGAUCCUGCGAAGAAGGCAUGAAGUAUAGAUCAGAUUUGUUAAUAGAGCAGUAUGUUCAAAACAUUUUUUAGAUAAAGAUAUUGACAGAACUUCACUUUCAACUGUUCGUUUGAGAGACUGUGCUGUUCCAAUAGCUUAUAUCACACAGAAUCAGCUGAGAGAAGUGGUCUACAAAAAACCAGGAAGGAAAUGGAAUAUGUGGCUACGAAAGGCAAAAGAAAGGUUUACAAAGCAAAUGUGACACAUUUUUUAUAGGAAUAUCAGUAAAUUACAUUAAAAAAAUGUAUGAAAAGAUUUUUUGCAAUAAAAAUGUUUAUAUUUA
rnacentral:lncRNA from 1 species